rnacentral:misc_RNA from 1 species
GGAAAAUCAUUAGCUACCGGAAAAUACAACCCAUGAGCAUAAGUAGAUUUCAAGUACCUUAAGACAUGCAUAGCUGCAUUCCAAUGGGGUUGUCUAGGUGUUGCCAUAAAUUGGCUUAAAUGUUGCACAGCAUGGCUAAUGUUAGGCCGGGUUAAAUUGAUAUACAAAAGUCUCCCUAUCAAUCUUUUAUAAGCAUCUGGAGAAUCCAACAACUCCCCUGUAUCUGUUGAAAGUUGCAGACCUUUAGGUAAUGGGAAGGUGGCAGGUUUACAAGAC